AAAUUCACAAAUCACAAGAAGUGCAGCAAGAGAGGAAGGAGUGGCGGCGAGCUUAAGGGCAGUCCGGCGUUCGAAGGAGUCGUCGAGAAAGAGGUUAUCUCCGCGAGCUAAGGUCGGAGUCAGGAAAAAUCAAGCUAAGAAGUUUAAGCAAACGAGGUUGAGCAGUGAUGACGGCGGGCGGUGUUGAGCAUAGACGAUGAAGAUCCUUCGAUAGAAUAGUACUCGGAUGCGCCGUGUCUCCAUACACGACGUUAUCUGCUCUUGACUCUUCCGCUGCAAAGUAAAAGUCGAGUUUAAAAUCUUUGUAUCAUGCACUCUGAUAUAGAUAAAUUCGAGUUAUUUCAGUUCAA